GGCGGACGGGUGAGUAACGCGUAGGAAUCUGCCUGAUAGUGGGGGACAACUCGGGGAAACUCGAGCUAAUACCGCAUACGCCCUACGGGGGAAAGCGGGGGAUCUUCGGACCUCGCGCUAUCGGAUGAGCCUGCGUUGGAUUAGCUAGUUGGUGGGGUAAAGGCCUACCAAGGCGACGAUCCAUAGCUGUUCUGAGAGGAAGAUCAGCCACACUGGGACUGAGACACGGCCCAG
rnacentral:rRNA from 1 species